UAAAAGGAUCCUGGAUUUUAUUAACGAGCACAUUUCUGGGUUUUGCUCUGCCAAGCUUCAUGCUUUCAUCCUCAGGCUAGUCUCCUCAGAGAUAGAAAGCAGCUGUUCACUUCAAGACCUGAGUCUGAGUUCCUUGUAGGAAGAAGAGGUCAGAGAAGGGAAAAGGUAAAGGGGCCAAGGGCGCAGAACUUUCUCCCAGCAAGAAAACAUCACUCCGGACUUCUGCUUUCAUCUUGUCGGCCAGGGCUGUAUCACAGGGCUAUUCCUAGGAAGCUGGGUGGCCAGCAGGUCGCCUUUCCACCCUUUAUAGAAAAGGUAGGCAAUGGCCAGGCGCGGUGUCUCACGCCUGUAAUUCCAGCACUUUGGGAGGCUGAGGCAGGCGGAUCACUUGAGACCAGCCUGGCCAACAUGACAAAAUCGCAUCUUUAUCAAAAAUACAAAAAUUAGCUGGGCAUGGUGGUGCAUGUCUGUAAUCCCAGCUACCAGGAGGCUGGGGUGGGUGAAUCAUUUGAGCCCGGGAGGCGGAGAUUGCAGUGAGUCAAGAUGGCACCACUGCACUCCCGCCUGGACGACAGAGUGAGACCCUGUCAGAAAAAAAAAAAAAAAAAAAACUAGGCAAGUGGAGAGUGACAGAUAAUGGCUUUGGGACAUCAAUCAUUGGUCUAUCAAGGGACCCAGCCAAGAGUUUUCAGUGUUUUCCUUUGCCGGUUAAAGACACUAAAACACUACCAGCAACUCUCACCUAUUACCCCUAUCAUUUCCUAAAAGAAAGGGUAUUUGAACACUGCCAAGGCCGGGCACAGAUGCCUGUAAUCGCAACACUUGGGUAGGCCGAGGCAGGCAGAUCUCUUGAAGCCAGGAGUUCAAGACCAGCCUGGCCAACAUAGCAAAACCCCAUCUCUACUAAAAAUACAAAAAAAAAAAUUAGCCAGACGUGGUGGUGGGUGCCUGUGGUCCCAGCUACUCAGGAGGCUGAGGUGGGAGGAUCACUUGAACCUGGGAGGAGGAGGUUGCAGUGAGCCAAGAUUGCACCACUGCAUUCCAUCCUGGAUGACAGGGAGCUUGUCUCAAAAAAAAACAAAAUGAAAAAGAAAAAAAAAAACCCCACAAAACCUGCCAAAAGAGGAGGAAAGACAAUCUCAGAAUAAUGAUCUGCCCACACACUGCACCAUCACUUUCGUUUUGUGCAAAAUUCCCCCCAUUGCUCUUAGUUUCUGAGACAUUUUCAGUGAAACGUCAGUCCUGGGAGUGGUGCUGAGUGAUGGUGGCCCUGCAUUCGCAGCAAGAUGCGUAAACCACAACACUGAAGGGCCUAUGGCGUUCGGAGACAAAAACUGGAAAAAUAAUGUUUUUCGGAUUUCUUCAUACAAACGACCAUGGAAAUCCCACCUGGUCUUCAGAUAAUCAAGGCUUGUGCCCCUCUGGUUAGCUCCUCCUCUCCAAUGCACUUUGCUACAUUCCUCUGCAAAUUCAGAUCUCUACUUAAACACCACUUCCUCUGGUACACUUUCCACGAUUCCCUUAGGCUGUCAUUGCUGUGUGCACUUUGUCGCCCGUCAUAGACCUUAUCCAGUGUCUGGAAGUCAAGAUUACAAGGGGAGAAGAGGCAAAAGAUGAGGCUGAAAAAAUAACUUCGUUUGGUUCAUUCCUUCCUUCUUCCUUGAAUUCUUCUCCAGCCGGCCUGUAUCACAAUGUCUGCAAUUACUAGAGCCUCCUACUGGCUGGGCAUGGUGGCUCACACCUGUAAUCUCGGUACUCUGGGAAGCCAAGGCUGGAGGAUCACUUGAGACCAGCCCAGCAACAUGUCUCUACAAAAAAUAAAAAAUUACCAGGGGUAGUGGCGCACACCUGUAGUACUAGCUACUUGGGAGGCUAGGAGGAUUACUUGAGCCCAGGAAUUUAAGUCUGCAGUGAGCCGGGAUCAUGCCACUGUAAUCCAUCCUGGGCCACAAACAUAGUGAGACCCUGACUCAAAAAUAAAAAAUAGAAUAAUAAGCCUCCUACUGAUGCCGAUUUCCUGGGAAGAAAACAGAAUACAAAUGUGGCAACCAGCCCCCACAAUUACCCCUCAUGAUCCUCACUUGCUGAGAUUCAUGCCCUAGUAUAAUCAGGCACACCAAAUCACAGCUGUCUGUGUGAAGGCACUAGGGCUUCUGCCUUGGCCUCUUGAAUUGGUAAAUGGGGCCUCAAUGGGGGAAGCCAGCUGCCAUGUCAUGAGAACAUUAGACAGUCUUGUGGAAAGGCCCCACAGAGAGAAGAACUGUCCUUGAAGGUGGAUCCUCCAGCCUCAGGAAUUCCUUCAGGUAACUGCAGCCCCAGCUGACAUCUGGAUCACAACCUUAGCAGACAUCCCACACUAGAGCAGCCCAUCUAAGUCACUUCCCAAUACCUGAUCCACAGAAACUGUAAAAGGUGACAAUGUCUAUAACUGUUCUAAGCCUCUAAAUUUUAGAAACUAAUGCAACAAAUAAGAAAUUUAAUAGUAACAGC
rnacentral:lncRNA from 1 species